AUCAACUUUCGAUGGUAGGAUAGAGGCCUACCAUGGUGGUAACGGGUAACGGGGUGUUAGGGCACGACACCGGAGAGGGAGCCUGAGAAACGGCUACCACAUCCAAGGAUGGCAGCAGGCGCGCAAAUUACCCAAUCCCGACACGGGGAGGUAGUGACAAUAAAUAACAAUACGGGGUUCUUUAGGAUCUCGUAAUUGGAAUGAGUACAAUUUAAAUCUCUUAACGAGGAACAAUUGGAGGGCAAGUCUGGUGCCAGCAGCCGCGGUAAUUCCAGCUCCAAUAGCGUAUAUUAAAGUUGUUGCAGUUAAAAAGCUCGUAGUUGAAUUUCGGGGUUAGUAGGUUGGUCAUGCCUCUGGUAUGUACUGGUCUCACUGAUUCCUCCUUCCUGAUGAACCUUAAUGCCAUUAAUUUGGUGUUUUGGGGAAUCUGGACUGUUACUUUGAAAAAAUUAGAGUGUUUAAAGCAAGCUAACGCUUGAAUACAUUAGCAUGGAAUAAUGAAAUAGGACGUUCGAUCCUAUUUUGUUGGUUUCUAGGAUUGACGUAAUGAUUAAUAGGGAUAGUUGGGGGCAUUAGUAUUCAAUUGUCAGAGGUGAAAUUCUUGGAUUUAUUGAAGACUAACUACUGCGAAAGCAUUUGCCAAGGAUGUUUUCAUUAAUCAAGAACGAAAGUUAGGGGAUCGAAGACGAUCAGAUACCGUCGUAGUCUUAACCAUAAACUAUGCCGACUAGGGAUCGGAUGAUGUUAAUUUUUUAAUGACUCAUUCGGCGCCUUACGGGAAACCAAAGUGUUUGGGUUC
rnacentral:rRNA from 1 species